UACUCAGGAAGAUGGAGUGAGGAGCCCAUGGUUAGUCUGCUACAGCAGCACCACAUCAUCCAUCAUUGUGGGACAGAAGUGGGUCGACAACAUCCUGGUGUUCAGAGUGGAAUAGUGUGUACAUUCGCUGCUGAGUCAGGACAAGGAUGCUGAGGAUGUGGUGGACAAGGAUGACCUGAAUACACAGAAGGAGAGCCCCGGUUUUGAUAUUGAGUUGGUACGGCAACAGCACCAGUCGGGCCUGCACAAGCCUCAAGUCAAGCACGACCCCUCCCCUGACCCCUAGCUUCUCCCAUUUGACUUCCAGCUUCAAAGGGUCAGCAUCGUUGAACAAAUUCCUCCUAUAAAAAAUUUUGAGCACAAAGAGUUUUCACACAUGGUUCUCAUCAACCACAAUUUUCGUGUCGAGUGAUCCGCACUUGAGUCUGUUUGGUUUGUUAGACCCGAGUGCCAGAGAUGGGACAACCAUUACAGACACAAGGACUUAUUGCAGCAGUUAUGGCAACAUGUACAGUCAGUUCUCAAUGUUGGACUUCACAACUAAUAUCACGAUAAAUACAAAGUUGGAUAACUCGUUCCAUUCUUUUUGGGACAAACAAUACAACGGAAAGUAACAAGAGAAAAUCAAGGAAUAUUUGUAGAGUUUUAGUCGGAAGCGUUUGCUUACCACUGGCAUACUCCUGGACAGUCGUAACUUUACGGACAGUCCCGGUUUGUCCUCACAGGUGUCCAAACUGUCCAAAGAGAACGCACUUUUGACGCAGUUGCUAACUUAGAAAGGCAGCACCUACUUUGUUGUGAACACUCAGAGCAUCCAUGGCCAUGCCUCAGGCGGGAAGUUCGACCAACAGCUGAAACAAGAUGCUAAAGGUGAACCCAUCAGGGUUUGUAACUUCCCACUCCAAUCCUUAACAGCCUGGCAUUGAGUCGGCGCUUGAGAAGGCGUUGAAAAAUGACAGCAGUUUUGUUUUGUGGUCCAGUAUGCCCUUUGGCUUUCAACCUGAUGUUAGGUAGAACUCAAACUGGGCCCUUAGCAAUAUCAGCGAGGCUAGAAUGUCAUCUCUGCAUCUUGAGCUUCAGAAAACAUUAAAAGCAAACAAGACAAACAUCAUGAAUGUUUAGGCAAUCCCAAUCCACUUAUACUACAACUCGCUCAGGAAAUUCAGCACGCCACCUUUUAACAUUUUCUCACAAGGCGCUAAAUCAACACUUCCAACAGCUGAGCCUUGGACAGCACCACCUUUGAUAUCGAGUUGGCCCAGCAACAGCACCAGUCCGGCCUGCAGGAGCCCCAGUCCAGGACGACCCAUCCACUCCCCUGACCCAUAACUCAUCAUACUUGAUAUUCGAAAAAAUGGGGCCUUAUGCAUGUGCUUAAAUUGUUAUCACAGAUAAGCCUAUGCAGUUUGCACAGGCUAAUAAUGGACAACAUUUUUCUCUUUAAGCAGAGCACCAGCAUUGAUAUCGAGUUGGCCCAGCAAGUGCACCAGUCCCGCCUGCAGAAGCCCCAGUCCAGAACGACCCUUCCCCUCCCUUGACUUCUAACUCCUCCCCCUUGACCGCCUGCCUAAAAAAGUCAGCAUCAUUGAACAACUCCGUUGUGCAGGAAAUUCUGAGCAUGAUUCUGUUCUGAACAAACGCAAUGCCAACGUCAAGUUGUCCACACAUAAGCCUGGGUAGUUUUGUUAAGCUAGAGUUCCCCGUGGGCCUGAGAGGGACGAGUGUUACAGACACGAAAAGUUAUAGCAGUAGUUAUGGUAACGCUAACAGUCAGUUGUUGCUGUUGGACAUCACAACAAAUAUCAUGAAGAAUAAAAAUUUCAAUAAGUUGUUCCAAUCUUUAUGGGACAAACAGAAAUUGAACGGAAGAAAAUCAAGGAACAAUAAAAGCGUACGCUUUCCUAGUGGGAUCCAUCUGCUGUUGAUAGUUUGAACAAUAGUAGGGUUACGGACUGCCCCAGAUUGUCCUCUCAGCGGCCUGAAUAUCAUAAUAGAACGGACUUUUGGCAAUAUUUCUGACAAAGAAAGGCAACUUGGUUGUGAAUACCCAGAGCACGAUACAUCCGUGCUGACAAAGAAAGGCGGUUAUGACUUGGUUGUGAACACCCAGAGCGCAAUACAUCAAUGCUGACACAGUAAGGCAGUAAUGACUUGGUUGUGAACACCCAGAGCACAAUACAUCCAUGCUGACACAGAAAGGCAGUCAUGACUUGGUUGUGAACACCCAGAGCACAAUACAUACAUGCUGACACAGAAAGGAAGGAAUGACUUGGCUGUGAACACAGAACACGAUACACCCAUGCUGACACAGAAAGGCAGUAAUGACUUGACUGUGAAAACAGAGCACAAUACAUCCAUGCUGAAACAGAAUGGCAGUCAUGACUAUGCUGUGAACACCCAGAGCACGAUAUAUCCAUGCUGACACAGAAAGGCAGGAAUGACUAUGCUGUGAACACCCAGAGCAAGAUAUAUCCAUGCUGACACAGAAAGGCAGUAAUGACUAUGCUGUGAAAACCCACAGAAAGAUAUAUCCAUGCUGACACAGAAAGGCAGUAAUGACUUGGUUUUGAACAACCAGAGCAAGUUAUAUCUAUGCUGACACAGAAAGGCAGUUAUGACUUGGCUGUGAACACAGAACACAAUACACCCAUGCUGUGAACACAGAGCACAAUACAUCCAUGCUGACACAGAAAGGCAGUAAUGACUUGACUGUGAGCACAGAACACCAUACAUCCAUGCUGAUACAGAAAGGCAGUAAUGACUUGGCUGUGAACACAGAGCACAAUACAUCCAUGCUGACACAGAAACGCAGUUAUGACUUAGUUGUGAACACAGAGCACAAUACAUCCUUGUUGACACAGAAAGGCAGUAAUGACUUGGCUGUGAACACAGAGCACAAUACAUCCAUGCUGACACAGAAAGGCAGUUAUUACUUGGUUGUGAACACAGAGCACAAUACAUCCUUGUUGACACGGAAAGGCAGUUAUGACUUUGCCGUGAACUGAGAGCACGAUACAUCCAUGCUGACACAGAAAGGCAGUAAUGACUUGGAUGUAAACACCCAGAGCACAAUACAUCCAUGCUGGCACAGAAAGGCAGUAAUGACUAUGCUGUGAACACCCAGAGCACAAUACAUCCAUGCUGAAACAGAAAGGCAGUAAUAACUUGGUUGUGAACACAGAGCACAAUACAUCCUUGUUGACACAGAAAGGCAGUAAAGACUUUGUUAUAAACACUAAGAUAUCCAUACAUCCAUGGGGUGUGCCACAGACGCAAAUUACGCCCACCAUUUUGAACAAGGUGCUUAAAGUGAACACGUCUGGUUUUGCUAUGAGCACUUAGCACUCCGAGUUCAAAAGGCCUCACAUUGAAUUGAUGCAAGAGAAGGCUUUGAAAAAUAACAGCAGUUUUGUUGUGUGGUCCAGUACGCCCCCCGACUCGCAACCUGAAGAAAGCAGAACUCAAACUCGUCUCUUAGCAAUAUCAGCAAGGCCAGCAUGUCCUCUCAGCUUCUAGAGCUUCAGUGAACUUUACGAGCAAACAUGACUAACGUCAUUAAAGUGAAAGUCGAUGACAACCCCCUUCUUGCACAAAUACUACAACUCGCUUAAGAAAUUCAGCACAACGACGUCUUGCGUCAGACUACCAAGCCUCCUAUCAAUAUCUCCUCCCAUGUUGGCUUCAGCAACACUUCCAACAGCAGAGCCUUGGUGAGUUGGACUUCCGUCUCAGCAUCGAUGUCGCUUAGCAACAAUUGGAUGAUGGGCGUCGACAAAUUAGACCGGACAAGUCGCUCAAACUGAAAUGAUCUGAUCUAACAGGUAGAGCAGGCAUUGCGUGACACGUCCGUUAAUGUGACUGACCUCAAUAUGUUGUUCUCGAAUAAUGUGAACCUUAGGCCUGGAGAGCAGUAUGCGAUUGACACCAUUCAACAACAGUUGUUGUUGGCAUUUCUCAGGUUUGGGGUGGCGACUUCGGCGUCAAGACUCGCUCCAUCUCUGUCCAUGGCCCAGUUGCAGCAGCAACAGCAGCAGCAACAGCAGCAGCAACAAGAAAAAUAAAGCCUGUUUCUACAGGAACCUAUGCAAUCAUAGAUCGGUACCUAGCUGAACAACAUGCUCUCUGGUCAGCUGGGCCCAGACGCCCAGGGACACCUCCUGGCCCAGGACCUUGGGACAAAUGUUCAAAUAGUACUACCCACAGGAUGAAGCCACUCUGAAUCCGGGGCUCCAUACUUUCUUGGCCAGGGGACAAGACUACCUCGUCAAUAAGAGGCCUUAUACUCACAAGUUCAAGCCCAGUGAGCGAUGUUCACCAAAUCCUACUCUACAUCUCAAUAGAAACCCGGAUAGCAAGGCGUUGAGUUUGUUCUUGAAGCAUUUGCACCAGAAGAAGUCAGCAUCUUGAUAUUCUGGAAUCUCCAUGGUGAAGGACCCUCAGUCUGUGAACAAAAUGCAGAGCGAACCUCAGAUGCCUUUUGACGAAAUCAAACCAUCCAAUCAGAAACACAGACUGCAUGUCACAGCAGUUGUUACCAUAUUGACCCUAGUCAAACGUAAGAAGCUCAGAGAUAAAUACUGAUUUAGUUCUGCUAGUCUCUACAUACCUCCUGGUUUGGUCAGCACUUACUCUGACUCUUUGAAUAUUAUGACAGAUGGAAAUGAAUGACCUUGUUCAGAUCGAAAUGGCAGAAUGACACAUCACAAGAAUUCAAGCGAAAAGCCAGAAAUCAUAUCAACAGCCACAUUUUGUAUGUCACCCGUCAAGUUGUAUUCAAAGACGAACAAUAGUUUCUGCUCUAUUGUGUAUGUGACCAGUCAAGUUGUAUUCAAAGAAAAACAAUAGUUUACGUUUUAUUUUUUAUGUGACCAACCAAGUUGUUUGUAUAGGUCCCUGGUUUAACAAAGCAUUUAAAGUAUUUUUAAAUUGAUGAAACUUUCACAACAGAUGUUGAUCCUGAUUAUGGUAAAUAAAUGGGAAAUACAAUGUUAUCAAAGAUUUGUUAAGAUUGCCAAAGCUGUUUAAAUGAUGCUGGUAACUUGAACAAAAUUGAAAAAAAUAUUGGAGUGUUUUCAAGCUAUAAGACAUGUUUCAGUUGUCUGUUUUAACCCGUAGAUAUAGAUAAGCUAGUGAAAAAUAUUUGUUCAGAAAGAGGUAAAAUGUUUACGCUUCAGAUUUUUAUCUAUCAACCUUAUGAAAACAAUACUAGUCAAUUGGCUCAUUCGGGUCGGUUUUCGACCAUGAAUCUUGUUUAGUAGCAUACUAUGUAUUUCAUGGGAAUAUAAAUAAAUUCUGGGUGAAAUAAUUUAAUCUACCUUAAAUAAUCGAUUCUGUAUUUACUACUAGUACUUUGUUGAUUUAAAUGGAUAUUGUAUGUUAAAUGAUUAGAGUAUGACUCUUGUUGAAAAGCUUUAAAUGAAACUGUGAAUUAAAAAAUAAAUAUUAUUUUGUUUUAGAGUUUUAUGAAAAAUGGCAAAAAGAUUGUUAAGUUGUGUUGUUUGAGUGUUAAAAUUUGUUUUUGGACAUAAUAGUUUAUUAUGCUUUAUGGUUGUAUAUGUACAUGAAGACGACCAGAUUGUAUCCUCUUUAAUCAGUGAGUAAUUUAAUCAAGAUUUUUUGAUCACUGUAUCAAGUGUAUAUGUUGCCAUUUAUACAUAGAGCAACUGUAAAACAAUUGUAUUUUAAAUGUAAUGUAUCCAUGUAUUGUUGCCAUUUUUAUAAGAUAAACUCACUGUUAACAUUUAUUUGUACAAACCAUUGUUUAAAAAACAUUUCUUGUGUCAAUGCUAAAAUAUGUAUUAAACUGUUAAAAUAAUGCACAGUAACAACUUCUGAAGAGAAAAAUAUACUUAAGGCAAUAGAAACACAUUGUUAUAUGAAAUGCUUUUUAUUAUUAACACCUACUUAAAAUUUGUUUAAUUUUGUUUUACAUUAUCUGAAGAAAAAAUAGUGCCUUGUAAUUUGAAAUCAGUCAAUGAAAAAUUAAGGGAGUGUUGCCAUAUGCUAACACUAGUCAAGAAAUGCAAUUGUCUCUUUAAGUAAUACAACAGAGCAAAACAAUUUGCUUAAACAAGAGCACCGCAUAAAGGGUGCCAUGCUCGGCUACGGGUGCAGUUUUGAAUAAAUGAAAGCUUGUCAGAAUUUAUUUGAGAGGUCACAGUGACUUGACCAUUGACCUAGUGACCCCAAAAUGGGUGUGGUGUGUAGAACUCAUCAAUGUGCAUCUACAUAUGAAGUUUGAAAGUUGUAGUUGGAAGCACUUUGAUUUAGAGCCAAUGUUAAGGUUUUAGCACGACGCGGACGACACGACGAACUGACUAUGACAAUACCUCGGGUUUUCUCCGAAAAUACCGAGCUAAAAAUAAAAACUAAGAUGUCUGCUUUGCAUUUUUUUAAAUAGACACUUAUGAAUGUGCUUAUAUUAAACAUGAACAGUAUUGACAUAUUGCUUAUGAUAAAGUUUGACAUUUUAUUAGUUUUGUAACGGCGUGUUUCACCUUUCACAUUGACCAUCCCACAAUCCCACAUUUGCUUUCAGUGGGGCCAGUUUCUGUAAAUCUUCCACUACAAGUUCAGCAAUUGUUUUAUGACCAGAUUUUCUCAUAUUUGGGAAUGUUCAUAUUUACUUUUUAUUGAAUGCAUGAAACAUAUUUGUUCUGUUUUUUAAUAACUGAAAAUAGCUUGAUGUUUGUAAAUUGUGUGACAUGUUUAUCAAAUUGAUACAUAGAAAAAAAAACAUUUUGCAUUUAUUUGUAUUUGUAGCUAAACAACACAUGUUACCAAAUACAAAUUUAAGUAUUUGGUAUAAAUAUAUAAUGAUUGUGCUAUAUUCGUAUUACCGUAUGAAAUGCAAUUUUAAUUAUAAUGUGUUUAUAUGUUCGUCUACUCCAAAUAAUCCAAAUAAUCAUUUUAAAGAAGUAAAUAUAGGGUAAUAAUGUCUAUGGAAAGUACCCGUAGGCACGUUUCAAUUGCUUGUGUACCUCAUACGGAUCAGCGUCUUUCUAAAUUAUUGCAUGAUUGUUAAUGCCUUUGUCUGAUUGUGUAAAUAUCUUCAAAGAUAUUUGUUAAGAGGCUUUAAAUAUUUAAAGAUAAACUAGCAUCUAAACUUUAACGGGGCAUCUUUUGCAUUUAUUUUAACGUGUUUAUAUUGGUUUGCUUACCGAGUUUAAUAUUGUCUAUAUUCGUGCGUAAUUUUAUUGUGGUUGUUUUGUUAAGACAAAGCCCAUAUCACUAAUGCUGUUGUUUUUGUUUUAUGUUAUAUGUAAAUAAUUAAACAUCUUUAUUUUGGUGAUAUGUAUUUCCCAAUCUAAGUGUAAUGUUGCAUUCUCAAUGAAGUACAUUGUUAUACACGUGGAAUAGUAUUGCUAAGUGACAAUUUGUUGUCUUUACAAAUAAAAACCGCAAGGAUUGUCGUAUCAAUUAUAUAGCUUUCCCCUAUUGAACUGGUGUAAAAACGUGACCGUGAGCUCAUUUUGUUUUAUGUUAACUGCCAAUAUAUAUAUAUAUAGAAAGAAAUUGUUCAAACAAUGUAAAAAAUGUGUAUCUUAUACCCUAGCGCUUUCGACUACACGUCUUCUUCAGGGGUGUAUACAGAUAUGAGUUAAUGAUUCCCCAGUGCGAAUGCACAAUUGAGGUUAACUUAUUGGCUUUCAGUAAUGUUUUUUUUAGUUAUGUGUCGUUUUAUUUUUGUAUUUAUUUAUGCAUAUUAAAAUUGUGUUAUAGACUGACGCCCGUACUAUAAAUUAUAUCGAUGUUAUAAUGAAAAAUAUUAUAAUUUGCAGUGAACGUUUUGCAUUCAGUAUUGUGUCAUAUUUAUUUUUCGUUUUAUGAUUAUGUACAUACACCUAUUAAAAUUGUGUGUUAUAAAAUGGCGCUUACAAUGUUUAUUAUAUC